CCGUGCCGAAGCUAACGCAUUAAGUGCCCCGCCUGGGGAGUACGGCCGCAAGGCUAAAACUCAAAGAAAUUGACGGGGGCCCGCACAAGCGGCGGAGCAUGUGGAUUAAUUCGAUGCAACGCGAAGAACCUUACCUGGGUUUGACAUGCACAGGACGUGCCUAGAGAUAGGUAUUCCCUUGUGGCCUGUGUGCAGGUGGUGCAUGGCUGUCGUCAGCUCGUGUCGUGAGAUGUUGGGUUAAGUCCCGCAACGAGCGCAACCCUUGUCCUAUGUUGCCAGCGGGUUAUGCCGGGGACUCGUAGGAGACUGCCGGGGUCAACUCGGAGGAAGGUGGGGAUGACGUCAAGUCAUCAUGCCCCUUAUGUCCAGGGCUUCACACAUGCUACAAUGGCCGGUACAAAGGGCUGCGAUGCCGUGAGGUGGAGCGAAUCCUUUCAAAGCCGGUCUCAGUUCGGAUCGGGGUCUGCAACUCGACCCCGUGAAGUCGGAGUCGCUAGUAAUCGCAGAUCAGCAACGCUGCGGUGAAUACGUUCCCGGGCCU
rnacentral:rRNA from 1 species